ACUCACUUUACUAUUCCAUAGAAAGAUUUAAUAAAAAUACAUGCAGAGCACCAAAAAUUCACAGAGAUAUCUUUAUAAAAUUGCAUCUGUCUUAUAUUGCAGAGGAAACGCGACAGAAGUGCAGAAGUGGCUCAAUAAACCUAAGUAAAUAUCCUGAACAUAUUUCCAUUUGUUUUGAAACCUUUGAAUUAGCUUCACAACCUUCACAACCCUUUUAUUUAUUUAUUUUUUUAGUUUCAAAGAGAAAGGCACUUCCCACUUACCCACUCUGCAUCUGCCACUUACAGUACUCUAUCUUUAAUCACAUUAUGUAAAUCACAUUCUCGUUAAAAAGUAACUACAGCUUACACAAAGGUGAACACAACUGGGUAGUUAAGAAGAAAUAGCAAUUCUUAUAACAUCUAUAGCAUUCAGAAGUAAGUGCUUAUUGUUCUCUAGCUUUAGCUAGUAAAAUAAACAAUGUGAUUUAUAGUACAUGUAUACAUUCAAUAGUGUGGGUUUGACUUAAAAAAACAGUUUUAGCUUUUUCAUGUAUGCAACAAUACAACAUUAACUGGGCUCACCUUGCAGAAUCACAAAAAAAUACAGUGGUGUACAACAUUGAGCAAUUGAGGUUAGUGCAAUACAUUGAUUCAUUGUGAGAAGCAUCUAUCCAUUGCCGCAAACAGGAUUCAAUUCUUGUCAAAAACCUGAAAAAGGACCCUAAGACCCUGAGCAGUGCUUAACCUCCUAGGACCUGGCGUCCACAUAUGUGGACAUCACAUUUUGGGAUAUCUAGACCAAAAUAAUAAAUUCUGCUCUACAAGGCUCUGAUAUCCACUUACGAGGACAUCAUACUGCCACUGUUCUAUUGAAAUUUUAAACAAAUGUCCUCAUGUGUGGAUCUCAUUUUUCUCAGAAACAAAAAACAGGUAAAAAAACAAAAUCUGGAAAUUCAUUGUUUUUACAUUCAUCAGGUCCCAACAUGCCCAAAUAUCAAAGAGAAAUUAAAAAUGCAUGCCAUGGAAGAGUUCGGGUCUUAGGAGGUUAAGAUGACUGUGCCAAUUCCAGAAAACUCUAGUGAACUGGCUUUUUGAACAUUUUGAGCUGUUUUUCCACUAACUUUGCUGGUAAUUGUGGCUAUAACUAAAGAUGAUCACGUUUAUGUUCUUCGUUUUUUGUUGUGUGGGUCUGUAAGGUUGAAUGUUGUACUGAUAUAUAAUGAUGGGAUGGUUCCCAUAAAUAGUAAGAAAUUACACAUUGCUCAUUGCUUUUUAAAAAGUAACACAAGUAAAGACAUAAUUGUAACUAAAGUAAUUUAAGUUUGACAUUUCUUGGUGAUUUUGAAAUGGUUAUUACUUUCCUUAAUUACUUUAAAUUUUAAAUAGUUUUAUAAAUAAAUAAUUUUUAUUCAUCAUAUCUUUUUUUGCAUUACUCUAACAUGACCUUAGGUUAGACUACAGUCCCACAUAGACAGAAAUCUAUUUCCAAAUGAAGACUCUAGCUGCUUGGCUGGGUUCAACAAAUUUACCUUAGCAUCACUUGCAUUUUUCAUUACCAGCUUUGUUAUAGUGUGAUGUCUUUGAAUGUGCAUGUCAGUGUCAUGCUAGCAGCAGUUUGUACUUGCAUGUUCUUGUCCUUCCAUGAACUAAAAUGAAAGAAAUGUCCAUAUGGCACUUUUAAUGAUUCUCUCUUCUUCUAAUCUGUCCUUCAAGAAGCUAACCUUUGUAACACAAGUAAGGACACAGUUGUAACUAGAAUGUGAGUACUGAUCUAAGGUGAACACUUGGAAAAAAUGAAAUGCAGUGAUUGAAGAACAGAAUCAUGAUUGAAAUCAGUGAAAAUAUUAACAUUGUUAAAGAUAUAGAUCUUCCCAGGAAUCAGUUUAGGGGAGCUGCAGUGAUCAACUAUUUUCAGGGUGUACGGCAAAGACAAAGCUUUGACUUUGGCUUUCUUCCCAUGGACUUUUAGCAUGCUCUUGAAAACAAUGCUACGCAGAGACACACUUUCCACAAUCCCAAUGCGCACUAAACAGAGAUACAGAACAUCGCAUUACAAAUACACAUUAAUUUUUGAAUAGCAUGUCUUCCAAUAUGUGUAUAUAUUUCAUACCUUUAUUGCAAAGAGCAGUUUUGUUCAGAUUAUUCAUAGAGAGAUGUCUGUAUUCUGAAAAAGAGAAGAUUAUAGACAUAUUAUUGGUAAAAUGCAGAAUCUGAGCUGUGCCAUCAUGUUAAAAUGACACAAAAUGAAGUUCUACUUUGUGAGAGGACAUCUAAACAUAUGCGACAGACCAUUAAUCAUCUUUCUCUGAUCCUGUCUUGAUUCAUUGAUUAAUGUAAGCCUCCCAGCGCAGCACGACCACAGGGUGGUGUUGUAAUAGAGGUGACCACAGCAUCCAAAUCCUGUCUUGACAGAGUAAAGCACCUCUUUGUCGUCACCUGAGCAGCAAAUCUCCU
ensembl:lncRNA